rnacentral:rRNA from 1 species
AGGACUAACGCUGGCGGCGUGCCUAACACAUGCAAGUCGAACGGACUGUAGCAAUACAGUUAGUGGCAGACGGGUGAGUAAAGCGUAGAUAAUGUACCCCUCCGCUGGGGAUAGCCACUGGAAACGGUGGGUAAAACCGAAUACUCUUCUUUGGUGGCAUCACUGAGGAAGGAAAAUUCCGGUGUGGAGGGAGCAGUUUGCGUCCUAUUAGCUAGUUGGUGAGGUAAUGGCUCACCAAGGCGACGAUGGGUAGCCGGUCUGAGAGGAUGAUCGGCCACACUGGCACUGAGAUACGGGCCAGACUCUUACGGGAGGCAGCAGUGAGGGAUUUUGCGCAAUGGAGGAAACUCUGACGCAGCGACGCCGCGUGCGGACGAAGCCUUUCGGGGUGUAAACCGCUGUCAGUGGAGAAGAGUAAGGACGGUACCCACUGAGGAAGCCGUCGGCUAACUACGUGCCAGCAGCCGCGGUAA